GACGAACGCUGGCGGCGUGCUUAACACAUGCAAGUCGAACGGAAAGGCCCCUUUGGGGGUACUCGAGUGGCGAACGGGUGAGUAACACGUGAGUAACCUGCCCUUGACUUCGGGAUAACUUCAGGAAACUGGGGCUAAUACCGGAUAGGAAUCCUUGCUGCAUGGUGGGGGUUGGAAAGCUUCGGCGGUUUUGGAUGGACUCGCGGCUUAUCAGCUUGUUGGUGGGGUAGUGGCUUACCAAGGCUUUGACGGGUAGCCGGCCUGAGAGGGCGACCGGCCACAUUGGGAGUGAGAUACGGCCCAGAUGCCUCCGGGAGGCAGCAGUGGGGGAUAGUGCACAAUGGGCGGAAGCCUGAUGCAGCGACGCCGCGUGGGGGAUGACGGGCUUCGGGUUGUAAACGACUUUCGACAGGGACGAAGCGUAAGUGACGGUACCUGUAUAAGAAGCACCGGCUAACUACGUG
rnacentral:rRNA from 1 species